GACAGAGGAUGCAAGCGUUAUCCGGAAUGAUUGGGCGUAAAGCGUCUGUAGGUGGCUUUUUAAGUCCGCCGUCAAAUCCCAGGGCUCAACCCUGGACAGGCGGUGGAAACUACCAAGCUGGAGUACGGUAGGGGCAGAGGGAAUUUCCGGUGGAGCGGUGAAAUGCGAUAGAGAGUACGGAAAGAACACCACGGAGAAAGCACUCUGCUGGGCCGACACUGACACUGAGAGACGAAAGCUAGGGGGAGCGAAUGGG
rnacentral:rRNA from 1 species